GGUUUCAUGGUGUAGUUGGUUAUCGCAUCAGUCUAACAAUCUGAAGGUCCUCAGGUGGAGCCUGAGUGAAAUCA
rnacentral:tRNA from 1 species